UCAACGCCAAAUUUUGUUGUCCGCAUUACAAACAUCUGCAGACAAUCGGCUCAAAAGGCAGAACACUUGAUGAGAAGGCCCCUUCACCAGAAAGACACGCAGUGGAAGCAAGCAUGCAUGUGGUCAAUAACCUUUUGAAUAUUGGGAUGCCCUCUCGUUUUUCCGUGUUUGAAUCUCUGGUUUGGACACGUCACAGAUAAGCUAGCUACGCGCUACGAUGAAUAGGUGCAUGGAUUUUCAGAGGAAGCUAAGAGCUACUGGCCAACAUGCCCAGUUGUUGCUUUCAAUUAUUUUUGGAGUCAUCAUGCAUUGGCGAUUUAAUAUUAUUGUUCUUCUGUUGCAAGCUACCUCCAAUUAUUAUGACUUUCAGUUUCUUGUGUACCCCAUGUGUAUUUCAGGCGUCUCUCGGAACUCAGAAAUGAAAAAUGCCUGGUUAGGAUGACCCCUAAGAUUUAUGAUUUAGAUGUCGCCAAUUUCAGGAAGCCCGCAGUCAACUUUCGAAACCUUCUCGCUUAAUAUACAGAUUGGUUUUCUGAAUGUAAGUCAUAUUACUCGAUCAAAUUCAAUUUCAUUUACAUUUUUGCACAAAAUGCAGGGUGUGAAACUGGUCUGCCUAGUGGCUGCUGGUUCAUGGAUAUGUGUGUUAACAGGUCAGUGUCACAAAGUACUAGUAGCCUGUAAUUAUUAUUGCUUAUUAUGUUAGUUAUCUUUGUGCCAAUAACGUUUUUCUACGGCACAGGACUAGAACUAGGCAUGGAUGCUGUGCGGUUGAUUUGACUGAUGAGGCUAAUUACUCACCAUCUCUGAUGUGAGUUAGCCCAAGCUCUAGCCUCUCUUUCUCCUUCUAUUUUUGCUUAGAUGGAUAGCAAUCCAUCUAUAGGUGAAUUGACUAAACAAACAAGAGGGAGGACGAUCUUUAUUACCUUUGCACUAGUUCUAGUCCUACUUCAUGGAGUAGAGUAUAAUGGAAACCUCAUUCUCACACACUGAUUACAAACUUGAUGUGGAUCACAUUGAACAGAUUACUUAAUCAUGCAAUUUGCGGACUACUGGAAUUUUUAAAACCAGUGUCUUCUUUUUCCUAACUUGAAUGACACCUCAUCCUCAUGAAAUGGAUUUUAGGUUGUGGGAACCAAGGAUUUCAUUAGAUGUAAGACUUUUGCAUCGGUUGUGUA
rnacentral:lncRNA from 1 species